rnacentral:rRNA from 1 species
UGGGGAAUAUUGCACAAUGGGGGAAACCCUGAUGCAGCGACGCCGCGUGAACGAAGAAGGUAUUCGUAUCGUAAAGUUCUGUCCUAUGGGAAGAUAAUGACAGUACCAUAGAAGAAAGCUCCGGCUAAAUACGUGCCAGCAGCCGCGGUAAUACGUAUGGAGCGAGCGUUGUCCUGAAUUAUUGGGCGUAAAGGGUACGCAGGCGGUUUAAUAAGUCGAAUGUUAAAGAUCGGGGCUCAACCCCGCAAAGCAUUGGAAACUGAUAAACUUGAGUAGUGGAGAGGAAAGUGGAAUUCCUAGUGUAGUGGUGAAAUACGUAGAUAUUAGGAGGAAUACCAGUAGCGAAGGCGACUUUCUGGACACAAACUGACGCUGAGGUACGAAAGCGUGGGGAGCAAACAGG